rnacentral:piRNA from 1 species
AAUUAGCGGAGGUCUCUAGGAAAAG